rnacentral:lncRNA from 1 species
CUGCCCGAGCCCCACCCCCCACCCCCUCCUGGUGGGCUUCCGCUUGGCCCGAGCUUCCUCGACGGGGGCUGCCCCCUGCUGGGCAGCGCCCAGUCCCAUGACCGCCCAAGGGUUGAGGAGUGCAGGCGCCUGACGCGGCCCUGGCACAGAAUCCACUAGGUGAAGCCAGCUAGGCUCCUGAGGCGGGUGGGGACUUGGAGAACUUUUAUGUCUAGCUAUAGGAUUGUAAGUACACCAAUCAGCAUUCUGUGUCUAGCCCAAGGUUUGUAAACACACCAAUCAGUACCCUGUGUCUAGCUCAAGGUUUGUAAAUGCACCAGUCAGUGCUCUGUGUGUAGCUAAUCUAGUGGGGACUUGGAGAACUUUUGUGUCUAGCUAAAGGUUUGUAAACGUGCCAGUCAGCACCCUGUCAAAACAGACCAAUCAGUUCUCUGUAAAACGGACCAAUCAGCUUGCUGUAAAAUGGACCAAUCAGCAGGAUGUGGGUGGGGCCAGAUAAGGGAAUAAAAGCAGGCUGCCCGAAUCAGCAGGGGCAACUUGCUGGGGUUCUCUUCUGAGCUGUGGAAGCUUUGUUGUUUUGCUCUUUACAAUAAAUGUUCAUUCUUUGGGUCCGCAUUGCCUUUAUGAGCUGUAACACUCACUGUGAAGGUCUACUGAUGCCACCGAGACCAUGAACCCACCAGGAGGAAUGGAACGAAUAACUCCUGACGGGAGGAAGGAUCAACUCCAGAGGCGCCGCCUUAAGAGCUGUAACACACGGUGAAGGUCUGCACCUUCACUCCUGAAGCCAGAGAGACCAUGAACCCACCAGAAGGAGGAAACUCCAAACAUGUCCAAACAUCAGAAGGAACAAACUCCAGACACACCACCUUUAAGAAUUGUAACACUCACUGCGAGGGUCGGUGGCUUCAUUCUUUAAGUUCGUGAGACCAAGAACCCACCAAUUCCGGACACACUGCCACCCCCCGUCACCUUCAGCGUGAAGCGGGAUGAGCCCUAGAUACAUAGCACCUUUCUCACCCGGACUGGAGACCUGUCCCCAGGGUAGGGGGUAGAUUCCUGGGUGCCACCAGGCAGGGUCUGGUUCAAAUGAGAAGAUGAUUGGCAGGGAUGCUCUAUCCUCCCCAAGCUGGAUCAGCAAGAACAGUUAUGAAGCCAGUUAUGAUGUGAAGAGAGGCUCACAUGGCAAGGACUGAAGCCUCCUGCCAACAGCCACACAUAUGAGUCACCUUGGAAGCAGAUCUUCCUGCACCAGUCAAAUCUUCGGAUGACUGCAGCCCCAGCCUCCACCUCGACCACCUCAUGAGAGACGCUGAGUCAGAGCCAUCCAGUUAAGCUGCUUCUGAGCUCCUGACCCACAUCAACUGUGAGAUUAGAAAUGUCUGUUGUUAAUCAAAACCGCAAUGAGAUACCAUCUUACACCAGUUAGAAUGGCUGUUACUAAAAAGUCGAAAAACAGCUGAUGCUCGUGAGGCUGCAGAGAAAAGGGAACACUUAGACACUGUUGGUGGGAGUGUAAAUUAAUGCAACCAUUGUGGAAAGCAGUGUGGUGAUUCCUCAAAGGGCUAAAAACAGAACUACCAUUCAACCCAGCAAUCCCAUUACAAGGUAUAUACCCAAAGGAAUAUAAAUCAUUGUACCCUAAAGACGCACGCAUGCAAAUGUUCAUUGCAGCACUAUUCACAGUAGCAGAGACGUGGAGUCAACCUAAAUGUUCAUCAAUGACAGAUUGGAUGAAGAAAAUGUGGUACAGAUACACCAUGGAAUGCUAUGCAGCCAUAAAAAAAGAAUGCGAUCGUGUCUUUUGUGGGAGCAUGAAUGGAGCUGGAGGCCAUUAUCCUUAGCAAACUAAUGUAGGAACAGAAAACCAAAUACCUCUUGUUGUCACUUAUUAGUGGGAGCUAAAUGAUGAGAACUCAUGGACACAAAGAGGGGAAUAGCAGACACUGGAACCUACUUGAGGAUGAAGGGUGGGAGGAGGGAGAGGAGCAGAAAAAAGUGACUAUUGGGCAGUAGGCUUAGUACCUG